GGAUAUGAUGAUAGUAUUUUGUCGCCCCAGUCUUAAUUUGCUCCACAAGGUGUAAAUAUGGUGAUUGACACUAUAACUGAUCC
rfam:Glycine max cultivar Williams 82 chromosome 8, whole genome shotgun sequence.